rnacentral:rRNA from 1 species
GAUGAACGCUGGCGGCGUGCCUAAUACAUGCAAGUAGAACGCUGAAGGAAGGAGCUUGCUCUUUCCGGAUGAGUUGCGAACGGGUGAGUAACGCGUAGGUAACCUGCCUGGUAGCGGGGGAUAACUAUUGGAAACGAUAGCUAAUACCGCAUAACAGUAGAUGUUGCAUGACAUCUGCUUGAAAGGGGCAAUUGCUCCACUACCAGAUGGACCUGCGUUGUAUUAGCUAGUUGGUGAGGUAACGGCUCACCAAGGCGACGAUACAUAGCCGACCUGAGAGGGUGAUCGGCCACACUGGGACUGAGACACGGCCCAGACUCCUACGGGAGGCAGCAGUAGGGAAUCUUCGGCAAUGGACGGAAGUCUGACCGAGCAACGCCGCGUGAGUGAAGAAGGUUUUCGGAUCGUAAAGCUCUGUUGUAAGAGAAGAACGAGUGUGAGAGUGGAAAGUUCACACUGUGACGGUAUCUUACCAGAAAGGGACGGCUAACUACGUGCCAGCAGCCGCGGUAAUACGUAGGUCCCGAGCGUUAUCCGGAUUUAUUGGGCGUAAAGCGAGCGCAGGCGGUUAGAUAAGUCUGAAGUUAAAGGCUGUGGCUUAACCAUAGUACGCUUUGGAAACUGUUUAACUUGAGUGCAGAAGGGGAGAGUGGAAUUCCAUGUGUAGCGGUGAAAUGCGUAGAUAUAUGGAGGAACACCGGUGGCGAAAGCGGCUCUCUGGUCUGUAACUGACGCUGAGGCUCGAAAGCGUGGGGAGCAAACAGG